rnacentral:rRNA from 1 species
UUUAUGGAGAGUUUGAUCCUGGCUCAGGAUGAACGCUGGCGGCGUGCCUAAUACAUGCAAGUCGAGCGAACAGAUAAGGAGCUUGCUCCUUUGACGUUAGCGGCGGACGGGUGGGUAACACGUGGAUAACCAACCUAUAAGACUGGGAUAACUUCGGGAAACCGGGGCUAAUACCGGAUAAUAUUUUGAACCGCAUGGUUCAAAAGUGAAAGACGGUCUUGCUGUCACUGAUAGAUGGAUUCGCGCUGCAUAAGCUAGUUGGUAAGGUACAGGCUUAACAAGGCACCGCUGCUUAG